UUUUCACUAAGAUUUUUAAAGGACUUUCACUCUUUUCAACCAUACCACUCAAUCCAAGUAUAUCACAAGUUAGAUCUUACAAAAUGACACUAGAUGGCAACAAACACAUGAUAAGAGCUAUAUCACUAAGAUGAUACAUGUCAAGAGCUCAAGGAAGAAAAUAAGAGGCUAAGAACGAGCUUGACACAACUAAAAGGGAAAUGCGCUGCUCAACCUUCUCAAGAUAACCGUGAUUACAUGGUGAAGAAGCUUAAGACGGGAACAACCGUGGCAUGCACAAAAUCCCUUGAAGAAAAUGUCAAGGACUUGAGGAAUGUCAAGAGGAAGGAACAAAAGAAGAAAAUCAAUACCUCUGCAAAAAGCCUCAACCAUGCCUCCAUGCAAGGUAACAUCCAAGGUAAUGAUCAAGCCACACUUCACACUAAGAAAAGUAAGAAGUGUAGUGAAUGCUUUGAAAAAGGGCACUUGAUUAGGUCAUGUCCCUAUAUUAAAGAAAAUGGCUUGAUUAUUAACAAGGAUGAUAAACAUUGUUUUAGAUGCUUUGAGAAGGGACAUUCAGUUAAGUCAUGUCCCUAUGUAAAACAAAAGACAUAGUCUUAGAAAAGAAAAUAUUUACUAACCAUGUAGCAAGCAAGAAACAAGGAAAGAAGAAAUCUUCAAAACAUGAAGAUCGCCUCUUCUACAUAUGCCGAAAGAAGGGACAUUUAUGCGAGGAUUGUCCCAUUGGUAACUAUCCCGCUCCUAGCUUGUCAAUUGAUUCAUAUGUAACUAGGCAACCCAAAAUUACAACUUGUGCUAGAAAGGUAAUGAGUUUACCAAGCGUUAGCACAAAGGACAUUUGGGUUCCUAGAUCUUUAUUGACUAACCUUGAUGGACCCAUCAAGAGAUGAGGACCAAAAUAUGCAUGACAAGCUUUGCAGGGGAAAGGAGAUUAUAUGAAGCUUUAGAAGUGCUUGAGUAGGUUAAUUCAAUUCUUAUUAACUCAAGCUAUCAAUCUUACAAUGUUCUAUAUCUCUAAGAUUGACCCAAAGUUAUUUUGGAUUAUUAUAUCUAAAACUCAUAUCAUCUCGAACAAGAUAUUGAUGUUGUAGGGAAUAAAGGAUUAUCUUGUGUGGAAAAUCAAAUCCUACAACAUAAAGGAAAGCCAAAGGAUGGUAACACUUAUGUCUUUAAGUGCAAGUAUCUUCAAUUAUCAUUUCUCUUGUGUCUUGUGUAGUCACACAGAAAAAGGAAGCACUUAAAAAUGUUGUUAAAUGGUGUCACCAUUCUUUGAAGAAAGUUCCUCUCAAAUGGUAGAUUGCAUUUUCAUCAUUUCUAUAUUAUGGCAAUAUACAUGCUUUAAAUUGUUGUAAGUACCUCAUGGUAUCUUUUACAUUAAACAUCCUUUAUUGCCAUGUUCUAGACAUAGAGAAAUAUUCCAAGUUCUUAAAAGAAUAAGGUGUCAUAUAAAGAAUUCAAAUCCUUAGAACUCUUAUAAAGGGAAUCUCUCUUUAUGACUAGAACCGUGAGAUUAAUGCUUUUGACUAAGUGACUUAAGUAGUCUCACAUUUAGAGAAUGAGUUUCUCUAUGGAAAUGUGUAAUUUAACAUAAAAAAGAAAAAUCAAUCCAUUGAUUUAUGAUGUAUUUCUUCUUGCUUAAAUUGGACAUAAUUCUUCUUUAUUAAUCGCUCUCCAUGUUAUGAAUUAGAUUUGUUCCCAUGAUCUUGAGAGAUUAACUAUGCUUGUCUUAUAAGUUAAAACUAAGCAUAACAUCAUCUAUGGGAUAAUCUAGUUCAUGUUAUGAAGUUUUCAUGUUUUAGUAAUCUACCUAUCAUUCCUUCUCUAAAAUGUUUACUAAAAAGGAAACUAGUGCUUGUGUUACUAAUGACAUCUCUCUUGAGCAUAUUUAUGAAAAUCUACAAGAGAGUGAGUGCAUGAUCAAUUUAUUAAAAGACACAAGCCUGAAGGUUGCUCUUCACCUAAAGGAAGAAAGAUAAAAACAAAGGUAUGAGAACUCAUCUCCUUAAUCAAUAAUAGCUCUCAUCAAUUGGUAUUCCUUCUAAACUAUCAUAUUCUGCCUAUGUGAAGAUUAGAUUCCUUAUUGGACAUUAAAUCAGCUAAAAGCGCUCACAAUCUUGCUUUCAUAUGUGUAUCAGUCCACUAGAAUCUAAUUUAUGCCUUUGCUAUAUCUAUGCUAAUAUUGAUAUGCUUCUAAAUUUAAUCAAUUAUGUGUGAACAAACAUCAAUAUGAAGAAGUAAACACCUUCUGAUCCAAGGCUAUUUGGUCCAAAGGUGUUGGACCAAUCACACUACGGUUAGCCAUCAAACUCAGCUUCUACUAGUCCUGCUCGGUUUAAGGGCCCCUCAAAGGCCAUCUUUCCUACAAUUCUUCCACCUACAAAUAUGCUAACUCAAAAGUGUUCUAUCAACUUUGUGUAAGUUUGUAUUUUCACUAACAUUUUUAAUGGACUUUCACACUCUUUUCAACCAUACCACUCAAUCCAAGUAUAUCACAAGUUAGAUCUUACAAAAAUGACACUAGUUGGCAACAAACACAUGAUACAUAGGUGGUGUCUAAGAAACUGAUGCUCUCGACAAAAUAUACAGAUGUGCAGUCUAAAACAUCGAUGAAAACUUUGCACAGGGAAUCGAGGUACGGAAACCUCAAU
rnacentral:lncRNA from 1 species